AAAUGCUAAGAAUUCCCAUAGGAAACUCAAAAGAAUUGGUAAGUUUUUCUUGCCAUUUUGAAAAGCAUUUUGUUCUAAAAAAAAAGUUUUUGCUUUAAGCAUCGAAAUAACGAAAAAUGUAUGUACUGUGUGUUUGUUCUUCCAGGGAAUUUUUUCCAAAGUGUUCCAAAGCUGAAUCUACAACAGCGGAAGGCUAUGCUUGCUGUUGGUUCGGAAAAUUAGCGGCAGAUUAGCGGCUGGAAGAAAGAAUUGCUUUGAACAAGCUGUGGUAACCUACGCAACACAAAAUACCGAUCAUCAUGUCCUUUUACGAAAUGGUCAAUUUCCAGCGGAUGCAGCAGCUUACCAAUGUUUUAAAUGGAAUCCUCAGGACGCCUUCAGUUAACAGCGGUACGGUACCAAUCAGCAGAAGCUUGAAAGGAUAACAAUCUGUUAGGCAGACCUAUAAGAACAGCAUGAAUUGGACAGGAUCGUGGCGGCUUCAAAGAAUCACACAGGCUGAUCCGAAACCGAUGGCCAACUUUAAGCUGCUGGACGAAACUAAAAUAUAAUUCGAAAUAUCGAAAGUAUUGGAAUUGGUUGUGAGAAUGUGAUUUUUUUAAAUAAAGUAUAAGAAUGAAACAAAAUGGAAAAAGCUUAUUAGGAAAAUAGAAGAAUAAAAUUAAAUAUAU